GGGAGAAGUGAUGAGAUUAUAUCCACACGAGAUAUCUGCAUCCAUUGUGAUGAUCACUUCAUGCACUACCAUCUGAUCUCUC